rnacentral:misc_RNA from 1 species
GAUGAAGAACGUAGCGAAAUGCGAUAAGUAAUGUGAAUUGCAGAAUUCAGUGAAUCAUCGAAUCUUUGAACGCACAUUGCGCCCGCCAGUAUUCUGGCGGGCAUGCCUGUUCGAGCGUCAUUUCAACCAUCAAGCCCCCGGCUUGUGUUGGGGACCUGCGGCUGCCGCAGGCCCUGAAAAACAGUGGCGGGCUCGCUGUCACACCGAGCGUAGUAGCAUACAUCUCGCUCUGGGCGUGCUGCGGGUUCCGGCCGUUAAACCACCUUCAUAACCCAAGGUUGACCUCGGAUCAGGUAGGAAGACCCGCUGAACUUAAGCAUAUCAAUAAGCGGAGGA